rnacentral:rRNA from 1 species
AAUAGAUACCCCGGUAGUCCUGGCCGUAAACGAUGACCACCAGGUGUGGGAGGUAUCGACCCCUUCUGUGCCAAAGGGAACCCAUUAAGUGGUCCGCCUGGGGAGUACGGUCGCAAGAUUAAAACUCAAAGGAAUUGACGGGGACCCGCACAAGCAGCGGAGCGUGUGGUUUAAUUCGAUGCGACGCGAAGAACCUUACCAGGGUUUGACAUGCAGCUGCACCUCCUGGAGACAGGAGUCCCUUCGGGGCGGCUGCACAGGUGCUGCAUGGCUGCCGUCAGCUCGUGCCGUGAGGUGUUGGGUUAAGUCCCGCAACGAGCGCAACCCCUGUCGUCGGUUAAGCUGUCCGGCGAGACUGCCACGCUAAACGUGGAGGAAGGUGGGGAUGACGUCAAGUCAGCACGGCCCUUACGUCCUGGGCGACACACACGCUACAAUGGGCGAGACAACGGGUAGCCAACCGCGAGGGGAGCUAAUCCUAGCAAACUCGCUCUCAGUUCGGUAUGGCGAGGCUGCAACCGCCUGCCUGAAG